UCAUUCAGCCAUAAAACAAAUAAACCUAAGCAGGAAGGGCCUGGUUAGUACCUGGAUGGGAGACCGCCUAGGAAGACCAGGUGCUGUAGGCG
rnacentral:rRNA from 1 species